UUAGGGUUUAAGGUUCUAGUGUAUUCUGAUCACGCGGUUUUAAAAUAUCUGCUCUCAAAGAAACAUACUUAACCAUGAUUGAUCAGAUGGAUCCUUCUACUUCAAGAAUUUGAUCUAAAAAUCUGAAACAAGAAGGAUUCUGAAAAUAUGGUCGCUGAUCAUAUUUUUAGAAUCUUAGUUGAUCAUACGAUGGGUACAGAUGAAGUAAAAAAAAAUUUCUGAGAAUAAUUUUUUGCAAUCUCC
rnacentral:lncRNA from 1 species